GUCUGUAGAGCACUAACCCACACACGUAUCGACACGAUUUCCUGGGUGCCUUUUGCCACGUGCAAGGGUUGGAGAUUGGGAUACGUGGAGGCCUAAC
rfam:Vibrio sp. J237 Contig_13, whole genome shotgun sequence.